AGUUUUUCCUUGAUUCUCACAG
rnacentral:miRNA from 1 species